rnacentral:rRNA from 1 species
AUUGAACGCUGGCGGCAUGCUUUACACAUGCAAGUCGAACGGCAGCGCGGGCUUCGGCCUGGCGGCGAGUGGCGAACGGGUGAGUAAUACAUCGGAACGUGCCCAGUAGUGGGGGAUAGCUCGGCGAAAGCCGGAUUAAUACCGCAUACGACCUGAGGGUGAAAGCGGGGGAUCUUCGGACCUCGCGCUAUUGGAGCGGCCGAUGGCAGAUUAGCUAGUUGGUGGGGUAAAGGCCUACCAAGGCGACGAUCUGUAGCUGGUCUGAGAGGACGACCAGCCACACUGGGACUGAGACACGGCCCAGACUCCUACGGGAGGCAGCAGUGGGGAAUUUUGGACAAUGGGCGAAAGCCUGAUCCAGCAAUGCCGCGUGUGUGAUGAACGCCUUCGGGUUGUAAAGCACUUUUGGCGGGAACGAAAAGGACUGUGCCAAUACCACGGUUCGAUGACGGUACCCGCAGAAUAAGCACCGGCUAACUACGUG